ACGCUGGCGGCGUGCCUAAUACAUGCAAGUAGAACGCUGAAGGAGGAGCUUGCUUCUCUGGAUGAGUUGCGAGCGGGUGAGUAACGCGUAGGUAACCUGCCUGGUAGCGGGGGAUAACUAUUGGAAACGAUAGCUAAUACCGCAUAAUAGUAGAUGUUGCAUGACAUUUGCUUAAAAGGUGCAAUUGCAUCACUACCAGAUGGACCUGCGUUGUAUUAGCUAGUUGGUGGGGUAACGGCUCACCAAGGCGACGAUACAUAGCCGACCUGAGAGGGUGAUCGGCCACACUGGGACUGAGACACGGCCCAGACUCCUACGGGAGGCAGCAGUAGGGAAUCUUCGGCAAUGGACGGAAGUCUGACCGAGCAACGCCGCGUGAGUGAAGAAGGUUUUCGGAUCGUAAAGCUCUGUUGUAAGAGAAGAACGAGUGUGAGAGUGGAAAGUUCACACUGUGACGGUAUCUUACCAGAAAGGGACGGCUAACUACGUGCCAGCAGCCGCGGUAAUACGUAGGUCCUGAGCGUUGUCCGGAUUUAUUGGGCGUAAAGCGAGCGCAGGCGGUUAGAUAAGUCUGAAGUUAAAGGCUGUGGCUUAACCAUAGUACGCUUUGGAAACUGUUUAACUUGAGUGCAAGAGGGGAGAGUGGAAUUCCAUGUGUAGCGGUGAAAUGCGUAGAUAUAUGGAGGAACACCGGUGGCGAAAGCGGCUCUCUGGCUUGUAACUGACGCUGAGGCUCGAAAGCGUGGGGAGCAAACAUGAUUAGAUACCCUGGUAGUCCACGCCGUAAACGAUGAGUGCUAGGUGUUAGACCCUUUCCGGGGUUUAGUGCCGCAGCUAACGCAUUAAGCACUCCGCCUGGGGAGUACGACCGCAAGGUUGAAACUCAAAGGAAUUGACGGGGGCCCGCACA
rnacentral:rRNA from 1 species